GAUGAAGAACGUAGCGAAAUGCGAUAAGUAGUGUGAAUUGCAGAAUUCAGUGAAUCAUCGAAUCUUUGAACGCACAUUGCGCCCCUUGGUAUUCCAUGGGGCAUGCCUGUUCGAGCGUCAUUUGUACCUUCAAGCUUUGCUUGGUGUUGGGUGUUUGUCUCGCCUUUGCGUGUAGACUCGCCUUAAAAUAAUUGGCAGCCGGCGUAUUGACUUCGGAGCGCAGUACAUCUCGCGCUUUGCACUCAUAACGACAGCGUCCAAAAGUACAUUUUACACUCUUGACCUCGGAUCAGGUAGGGAUACCCGCUGAACUUAAGCAUAUCAAUAAGCGGAGGA
rnacentral:misc_RNA from 1 species